rnacentral:lncRNA from 13 species
AAAAUAAACAAAUAUAUCUUAUUAUUAAAGAGAUUCUUGCCAGGCGGUAAAAGAAAUAUGUGCUCCUAUGAGAUUUGCUUACAUAUUCUGUGGAUUGUAGAUAGUAUAGCUUUACAUUUAUUGAAAUUGUCUUUUCCCCCUGAGUUCUAAGAAAAUGUGCCUAAAGCUAUUAUCGUAUCUAUCGACUCUGUGGGAUUUAAUGGACGUGGCUCCUGCUCCCAGGUGGUUGGAAAAUGACCUCUAUGAAGCAAAGUUCAAGCAGAGUGAAAGCUCUGAGGCUGAGAUUAGAGACCUGUCAGUUGCCUGGAAGGAUAAAAGUGUAAAAUUAUAUGUGACGCUCAGUUCAGUCACAUCAAACAGCUCAGAAAUGUUUACUGAAUGAACUACACAGUCGCUAAUUACACUUUCGCCUUAAGUAUUCACAUUAUCAUGGGCAACAAGUACCCAGAGAAUCUGGAAAGGGAAAGCUGCUAAUAAGUAUGCAACAAUUACAGCAGGCAUGGUUUUGCACCUUAAUUUUCCUACAGUGAUUAUUUAUAGUGAAGAGGCAAAUUUGGCCAGUCAUUGCAUACAGUAUCUCUGCUUUUAAUCAUCUGAGAAAAGAUAUGAUAAAUUUUAAGCCAAAAUAUAGCAACAGGAGUGUAACUAUGAACAACAAAAUAAACACAGCUUCCUCAAAACAUGAUAGAAAAAAUUGCUUUAACCCAGUGACCCUUAGUGACCAGGCUGUUCAGGGUGGUCACAUAUAUAAUGUCAAAUGAUUACAGCAGCAACUAAAACCUGAUGAACCAAAGUGCACCUAAAUUGCUCUUUCACUUCUUUCUGGAGGAAGUGCAUUAACCUUGCAUACCACUGAGGGUUUUUUUCAUUAUUGCAACUUCCUUAUAUUAAAAGUUGCCUUUCUCUUGAUAUUCACUAAUUCCAAAUUUCGUAACAAUGCUGAAACAACAGGUGAAGGGUUCUCCUUUCAUAAGUAAGGACCCUGCACUACACUUUAACUAUCACCCACAAAGACCUAUGGUCACAAAUGGGAUCCAGAAAGCAAAGGCAAGAGCUGAGCUUUGCAGGGUACUUUUGGUAGGCUGGCCUGAGACACCUCAGGUGAGAAGGGAAGACAAGGCCAGGGCAGGCUUUGCUGCUGGUGUUCACAUGCUAGAAGACUUGCUCCACCUGAUCCGCUUACAAGCCAUUGCAAGCCCAUUGAAACACCUUGUCGUUAGUAAAUCCACAGAGCAAGAAACCUGGGAUGCUCCAUUGCCAGUGGCAGACAGAGCCUGCUUGACUCAAACAUUCAUGGUCAUCUUGUGCUUAACAGCAAAACUCUCUGUGUGA